UACGAGGGGGGGCAAGCGUUGUUCGGAAUUAUUGGGCGUAAAGGGCGCGUAGGCGGUGCGGUAAGUCUGUUGUGAAAUCUCCGGGCUCAACUCGGAGCUUGCAUCAGAAACUGCCGUGCUUGAGUGUGGGAGAGGUGAGUGGAAUUCCCGGUGUAGCGGUGAGAUGCGUAGAUAUCUGGAGGAAUACCGGUGGCGAAGGCGGCAUCCUGGACCGAGAUUGACGCUGAGGAGCGAAAGCUAGGGGAGCAAACGGG
rnacentral:rRNA from 1 species